CCUACGGGGGGCUGCAGUCGAGAAUCUUCCGCAAUGGGCGAAAGCCUGACGGAGCGAUACAGCGUGAUGGACGAAGUGCUUCGGUACGUAAACAUCUUUUAUGGGGGAUGAAAUUAUUGACAGUACCUCAUGAAUAAGGGGCUCCUAACUCUGUGCCAGCAGGAGCGGUAAUACAGAGGCCCCAAGCAUUAUCCGGAAUUACUGGGCGUAAAGGGUGUCAAGGCGGUCAUGUUAGUCGUUCGUGAAAUCCGCGGGCUCAACCUGCGGCGUGCGAG
rnacentral:rRNA from 1 species